AUACGGAGGAUGCGAGCGUUAUCCGGAUUUAUUGGGUUUAAAGGGUGCGUAGGCGGGCUGUUAAGCGUGAGGUGAAAGCUCGGGGCUCAACCCCGGAACUGCCUCGCGAACUGGCGGUCUUGAAUGUCCGUGCCGUGGGAGGAAUGUGUGGUGUAGCGGUGAAAUGCAUAGAGAUCACACAGAACACCGAUUGCGAAGGCAUCUCACGAACGGAUGAUUGACGCUGAGGCACGAAAGCGUGGGGAUCAAACAGGAUUAGAUACCCUGGUAGUCCACGCAGUAAACGAUGAUGACUAACCGUCGGCGAUACACAGUCGGUGGCCAAGCGAAAGCGAUAAGUCAUCCACCUGGGGAGUACGUUCGCAAGAAUGAAACUCAAAUGAAUUGACGGGG
rnacentral:rRNA from 1 species